GGGCGGGGCCGGGCGCUGGGUCUGCACCCAAGGACCGCCUUUGUCUUCACCUGGCUGCUCAGUCCCCAGUGUCAGGACGGGGAAUUUUAAAGAAUAGCUGAACGUUCGACGGAAAGAUGCGGUCAAACACCCCCAGAGUAUCUUGAACUUUAGCGGAGCACGUGGCCUUCCAGCUAGAGACCACAUUUCGCAGCUUCUUUUGCAGUUUCCUAGAAAAUGGCAACAACCAGGGUGAUCACGGGAGAUACAAAAAUGGAAGGUAAAGAUUGAAGAUGACGGACUGUCAGAGCCUGUAUGACAUCACGUAGCAGAGCCACCCAGCAGUGUCCCCAGCCCACGGCUGCAGUGUUCCAUGAGGAACAAGUUAACAUUUAUGCUACUUAAGGUGGCAGCAUCCACAUUUGGGGAGUACAGUCCAUCUACCGAGCCUUAAGGAUCAUUUAGCAAUAGUGUUUGGAGGUCCUGUUUUUCCUUUUCAUAAGAAAAAACUUCGUAAAAUGUUUAUUAUAUUUAUAAAAUGUAUGACCUGGAAACGUUCCUGAGUAUUGUAUCCGAAAAGAAAAUAGAAAUGAAAAGCAGGUUAUCAGUUUGAGGGGAUGUACAACAGACUGGGAAGAUAAUUCACCAAAAUGUUGACAGUGAUUUAUCUCUGAGUAAUAGAGCAGGAAAUAGGUGAUUUUUUUUUUCUUUUUGUGCCUUUCCAAAUUUCCUACAAUGAGCACAGUAUUUUUAAAAACAUUGUUUAUCCUUCUGUCCAUGCCUUGCCAUCAGCCUCCUUGGGCCCUGGGAGAACUGAAGAGAGUUAUCUGGUACCCAAAUAUUUCCAGUGUCAGAAAGCUCUAAUUUUUUAACUGUGGAAAGAAAAUAAUGACAGAAACUUGAAACGUAUAAUAGGACUAAUUGAAGGAGAGAUUGAGGGGUAAAGGAUCUUUUUAAUACUCCCCAUGCCCAGAAGUCGACUUACUGUGAAGCUAGUAAAGCUUAUGCUUGAGGGCCUCCCCCUCCCUUACACUGAUCCCUUUCAAAAUAUUGUAUCCCAUUUGAAUUCAGGAUUUUGGAUGACGAGGCCCAUAAAUUAUCCUGCGGCAGAACCUACCAAACCCAGAUCCACCAUUGCCAAAGCACACCGAAAUGGUCUCUGACAAGUUUGUCCCUGUCCUUGUAUGAGGCAGGUUAGUUCUAACUAUGCUUUGAGCAGGUGGGGGUGGGGGGGAAUGCCUGUAAACUCCCCAUUGAACUGGGAGGCCAAGCCUCAUACACUCUGUACUCUUGUUGCCUACCUAGCCCAUGUCUGGCACAUUUCAGGUAAUCAGAAACCAUUUGUAGCCCUGUUAAAUGGCAGUGAAUUUUCAUGGAGAAGUAAGAGUUCCUAAUUCAUGGAGUAGUUGGCGAGUAGUAUUUGUAGAGCUGUUGCUCGUGGCUCACAGAGAGGGUGCUCCUCCUGUCUUAAAUAAACAGCGCCACAGAGAGGACACCUCAUCCCCAGAGGAGCCCUUGGGACUGGUGAGCAGAUCCCGCCAGGCGAGUCAUCACCUGGUACAGCUUAGCAAGAGACUCUGGCUCCCCUCUUUGAAAAGCUGCAUCUGGGGGCAAUUGGGUGGCUCAGUCGGCUGGGUGAUCGACUCCAGCUCAGGUCAUGAUCUCAAGGUUUGUGAGUUCGGGCCCCGCGUCGGGCUCUGUGCUGACAGCUUGGAGCCUGGAGCCAGCUUCUGAUUCUGUGUCUCCCUCUCUCUCUGCCCCUCCCCCACUCAUGCUCUGUCUCUCUCUAAGAAAUAAAUAAACAUUAAAAAAAAAUUAGAAAAGCUGCAUCAGCAUACUUGGGAUACAAAGAAAAAACCAAAUCUGGUGUGUGACAUAAAUCUCUCAAACACAAGAGUGCAAACCGACAUGGGAUACCAAAUGAGAAGAAUGAACAAAAAAAGCUGCUGCCAUAUGACCCAGCACCUCCCCUCUGGGUACACACCCAAAGGGAAUGAAAGCAGGGACUCGGGCAGAACGUACACCGUGUUCAUAGCAGCAUUUUUCAUAAUAGCCUAAAAGUGGGAGUAGCCAGCGUUCAUCACCAGAUAAACAGAUAAGCAAAACGUGGUCUCUACAUAUGAUGGAAAAGGAAUGAAAUUCACACAUGCUACAUUGAACGUUGAGGACAUUUUACUAAGUGAAAUAAGCCUGUCACAAAAGGACAAGUAUUGUGGGAUUCCCUUUAUAUGGAAUAUCCACAGCAAUCAGAGGCACAGAGACAGAAAGCAGAUGGUAGUUUCCAAGGAUUAGGGGAGAUGGGGAGUUGUUGUCUGAUGGGUACAGAGAUUCAGUUCUGCAAGAUGUGACUACUUACGCCACUGAACUGUGCACUUAAAAAUGGUAAAUUUUAUAUUUAUAUUAUUUUAUUUAUAUUUAUUAUUUAUAUUAUAUUAUUUAUAUUUUACUGCAAUAAAAAAAAGUGCCAAAAGACCAAGCAGAUGAAACAAGGAAAUAAAUAUUUUCCUAUAUUUUAUCAGUAUCUUCACAAGAAGGGAUUGAUGGUCUAUUACAGAACUGUUCUGCAAUGUAGAUGUGAAUUAUUUGUGAAUGUUAACUACUAACCUCUAAUGACGCCCUUACUAUGUGUUCGGAACCGUGCUAAGGGAAUUAACACAUUCUCUUAACUCUCAAAAUCAGCCUGUGUAGUUGUAGGUACUAUUAUUAUGGUCAUUUUCAAAUUCAGAAAGUAAAGCUUAGAAAGUUUUAAGUCAUUUGCCCAUAGGGCAGAGUUAGGGCACUGUGGAGCCCAGAUUUGGCCAUGUUGCUCAUUUCAGAGUUUGGGUUCAGUUUUGGGGGUUUUUAGUGCAUUUUUUUCUUUUUCUUUUAUUUUAGAAGGGGCGGGGGAGAGAGAGAGAGAGAGAGAGAGAGAGAGAGAAUCUUAAACAGGCUCCACACUUAGCACUGAGCCCAAAAUCAAGAGUUGGAUUCUAAACCAACUGAGCCACCUAGAUGCUCCUUAAUAAAAACUUUUUGUUGUUCGUAAGUUAGACACUUGUUUAAGGAAUUUCUCAGGAAAGGAAUUGGAAUCAGGAGAAUGCAAAUGACAUUGAUAUGCCCCGAGGAUCUAAGAGCUGAACAGUGCUCCUUUCAGAAUUAUGCCUAAAACAGUGCCUCGGCCAGCGGCCCAUGUACUUGCUGUGGAGUGGGGGGAGUCCAGCCUUGAUCCAUGAGUAAGGGAACUGGAAAAGCAACAAUGAUACUUCAUUUGAGGUACAAAUAAUUUUGGAAAAUAUUCUAAAAUGUCGCUUUAAAACUUUUUUUUUAUUUUCAGACUUUAUAAUUCCUGACACACUGUUCAGUAUGAAAUAUUCUAAAUAAGCAUAAACUGGGCAAAACACUAGAACCAAGUAAAGAAUUGAGAGAUUGAUUCUGUCAAUUUAUAGGACUUCAUCUUCCCCGCAAAGGAUUAACUGGAUGUGUUAUUGUAUCUUUUCAAAUGCGCAUGUGUUUUGUGUGUGUGUGUGUGUGUGUGUGUGUGUGUGUGUGUGUACACACAGUGGUAGAUUAAGCACAUGCAUUUGCCUCUCCUGUCUCCCAUAUUCCCAUCAAAGUAACAAAAAAGAUCGUGUAGAGAGAAUGUGAGAAAAAACAUCAUCAGCUGGCCAAAAGUGCUGAGACAUUUCUGAAAGAGAAAAGCAGACAGAUGACCUGAAAGAAAGUGCAGAGAAAACUGUAAGCCAGGGCACAAGAAAUGAGCAUGUGUCUUCCCAAGGUGCCCUCCUCACCCCCAAGGGAGCUCACACUCAGUCAUCAAUAAGAUGAUGGGCUGUGGGGCCACCUCCAGUGGCCUCAUUAAAGAGCCAGAUGCAGUGUCUAGAGACAGCUGGGCCCCUUUCCUCCACAUGUGUAAACACAGCUUGGCAGCUGGGACUUUUGCCCUCAGGCUAAAAGCCAGUGCACUGCCCUCUAGAAAGCCAGCUAUCGGCUCAGAGAGCGUUCUUGCUGAGGAUGUUGUGGCUAAGAGGAGAUACUGAAGAAAUUCUGAAUGUCUAUGAUAAACUCAGACUGGAAAUCAUCAGACUUCAGAUGCACCCCCACCUGGAAACCUCUGGGUUCCCAGAUCCCCUUGUUUGCGCUUUGC